rnacentral:snRNA from 1 species
GUGCUCACUUCAGUGGCACAUAUACUAACAUUGGAAUGAUAUGGGGAAGAUUAGCAGGGCCCCUACACAAGGAUGACAUGCAAAUUUGUGAAGCAUUCUGUAUUUUU